AUCAGUUUGGCCAGCUUCUCAACUACAGUCAGUUUGCACUAACUAUGCAGUCGAUCCAUUGACCUUGCUAAACCAUUCAAUCGGUAGUAGCGACGGGCGGUGUGUACAAAGGGCAGGGACGUAUUCAGCACAAGCUGAUGACUUGUGCUUACUAGGAAUUCCUGGUUCACGGGGGAUAAUUACAAACCCCGAUCCCAGGCACGACAGUAAUUGAAAAGUUUGCCCAGCUCUUUCGAACCAGAACAUCAAACUCUCUACUACUGUCAGUGUAGCACGCGUGCGGCCCCGAACAUCUAAGGGCAUCACAGACCUGUUAUUGCUCUUUUUCUUGUGGCUUGGAUAUCCACCAAUCCCUCUAAGAAGUACCAUGCGCUUAUGCAGUAACACGCGACCAACCGAAGUCAAUCAACGCAUACACUACACAGAGUUACGCAUAGUCUAUUUAGCAGGUUAGAAUCUCGUUCGUUAUCGGAAUUAACCAGACAACUCAUACCACGAACUAAGAACGGCCAUGCACCACUAAUCACAAAAUCAAGAAAGAGCUAUCAAUCUGUCUAUCCUCAUAGUGUCCGGUCCGGGUGAGUUUUCCCGUGUUGAGUCAAAUUAAGCCGCAAGCUCCACUCCUGGUGGUGCCCUUCCGUCAAUUCCUUUAAGUUUCAGCUUUGCAACCAUACUUUCCCCGGAACCCAUAGUCUUACAGGUUUCCCGGAGAUUGCCCGUGGGCUCACAAAAGGAGGCCCCACGGAUCAUCAGAUGGCAUCGUUUAUGGUCAGAACUAGGACGGUAUCUGAUCGUCUUCGAACCUCUGACUUUCGCUCCUGGUAAAUGAAAACAUACUUGGCAGAUGCUUUCGCUUUAGAUUGUCUGGCAACGGUCCAUGAAUUUCACCUCUAGCGCUGCCAUACAAAUGCCCCCGUCUGUCUCUUUUUAUCAUUACUUUGGUUCUAUUAAACCAACAAAAUAGGACCAAAGUCCUAUUCUAUUAUUCCAUGCAAGACUUUUCAGGCAACUAUAGGCCUGCUUUGAGCACUCAAAUUUGUUCAAAGUAAACGUGCUGCCCACACUGAACACCUGGUUAAAGGCAUAGCAGUGAGUAGUGCUGAAGCUAACUCACCUAAAAGGAUCGCCAGACUCCGACACUAUCUAAGUGGUACCGAGGCACCACAAAGACACAGCUGGGAGAUUCGGUCCAGAAAAAUACCAUAUACCACCUACUAACAUCCUCGAUGCAGUAAAUGUUCUAUGGCCUCUGACCCGAAUCCAGAUCCAACUACGAGCUUUUUAACUGCAGCAACAUUAAUAUAUGCUAUUGGAGCUGGAGUUACCGCGGCUGCUGGCACCAGACUUGCCCUCCAAUAGAUCCUCGUACUAGGAUUUAUUAAGCACUCAUUUCGAUUACAGAGCCUCGCUUGAGUCCUGUAUCGAUAUUUGUCUUUACUACCUCCUCUUGCCGAGAGUGGGUAAUUUGCGCGCCUGCUGCCUUCCUUGGAUGUGGUAGCCGUUUCUCAGGCUCCCUCUCCGGAAUCGAACCCUGAUUCCCCGUUACCCGUCAUAACCAUGGUAGGCAUAUCACCUACCAUCGUAAGUUGAUAGGGCAGACAUUUCAUGGAUCCGUCGCCGACAACAAGGCCGACUGCGAUCAUACAAAGUUAUCCAGAGUCACCACAAACAUCGAGCGAACCCGGUUGGUUUAUGGUCUAAUAAGUGCGGCCCUCUUCUCACGAAUCAGGCACACGAGGCACGUAUUAGCUCUAGAAUUACUACAGUUAUCCGUGUAGUAAGUACGAUCCAAGGAACCAUGUCUGAUUUAAUGAGCCGUUUGCGGUCUAACCUUUAGAAGAGGCGCA
rnacentral:rRNA from 1 species